GCGAGAUUAGUAUAGUGGUGAUUGCACCACGUUGUGGCCGUGGAAACCCCAGUUCGAUUCUGGGAUCUCGCA